rnacentral:misc_RNA from 1 species
UUUCCAUGUACUGGUGAUUCCUCAGCAGAGUCUAGGCUUCGCAUCUUCAUUAAGCGCGUCUUAGUCUUUUUAUUGCCUUCUAUUUUCCGAAUGCACAAACUAUUCCUGUUUUUUUCAGGUGGAAAAAUCUCAUCCUCAUCGAUAUUCUGCAUGAUGACAGCCUCUUCCUUGUCAAGGCUCUUGGAGUGAUCUAGUUCUUUCCCCAUUUAUCGCGG